CCUACGGGGGGCAGCAGUGGGGAAUAUUGCACAAUGGGGGGAACCCUGAUGCAGCGACGCCGCGUGUGGGAAGACGGUCCUCUGGAUUGUAAACCACUGUCCCCAGGGACGAAAAUGACGGUACCUUGUGAGGAAGCUCCGGCUAACUACGUGCAAGCAGCCGCGGUAAUACGUAGGGAGCGAGCGUUGUCCGGAAUUACUGGGUGUAAAGGGAGCGUAGGCGUGGAUGAAGGUUGGGUGUAAAAACUACCGGCUCAACUGGUAGUCGCACUCAAAACUGCAGCUCUUGAGUGUAGUAGAGGCAGGCGGAAUGCCUAGUGUAGCGGUGAAAUGCGUAGAUAUUAGGAGGAACACCAGUGGCGAAGGCGGCCUGCUGGGCUUUUACUGAUGCUGAGGCUCGAAAGUGUGGGGAGCAAACAGGAUUAGAUACCCCUGUAGUC
rnacentral:rRNA from 1 species